UAAGGAAUAUUGCUCAAUGGGAGAAAUCCUGAAGCAGCAACGCCGCGUGGAGGAUGAAGGGUCUAUGACUUGUAAACUCCUGUAAAGAAGGAAAAAAUUCCCAUUAGAUGGGAGAUGAUGGUACUUCUGGAGUAAGCCCCGGCUAACUACGUGCCAGCAGCCGCGGUAAUACGUAGGGGGCAAGCGUUGUCCGGAUUUACUGGGUGUAAAGGGUGCUCAGGCGGAUUUGUAAGUCAGAGGUGAAAUCUUACAGCUUAACUGUGAAACUGCCAUUGAUACUGCAAGCCUAGAGUAUGGAAGAGAGUGAUGGAAUAUCUGGUGUAGCAGUGAAAUGCGUAGAUAUCAGAUAGAACACCAAUGGCGAAGGCAGUCACUUGGUCCAUUACUGACGCUAAAGCACGAAAGCGUGGGUAGCAAA
rnacentral:rRNA from 1 species